rnacentral:rRNA from 1 species
GAUGAACGCUGGCGGCGUGCUUAACACAUGCAAGUCGAACGAUGAAGCUGGAGCUUGCUCUGGUGGAUUAGUGGCGAACGGGUGAGUAACACGUGAGCAACCUGCCCCUGACUCUGGGAUAACAGCCGGAAACGGCUGCUAAUACCGGAUAUGCACCAUGAACGCAUGUUCUGUGGUGGGAAAGUAUUUUUCGGUUGGGGAUGGGCUCGCGGCCUAUCAGCUUGUUGGUGAGGUAAUGGCUCACCAAGGCGUCGACGGGUAGCCGGCCUGAGAGGGUGACCGGCCACACUGGGACUGAGACACGGCCCAG